rnacentral:rRNA from 1 species
CCUGGUUGAUCCUGCCAGUAGUCAUAUGCUUGUCUCAAAGAUUAAGCCAUGCAUGUGUAAGUACAGGCCGACUUAAGGCGAAACCGCGGACGGCUCAUUAAAUCAGAUAUAACUCAUUGGAUCUCUGCUGAACCGCAUUACUUGGAUAACUGUGGUAAUUCUAGAGCUAAUACAUGCCUUUGUAGUCUCCGACCGCGAGGGAGGAGCGCUUUUAUUAGACCAAAACCCUCGGCAGCCGGUUCCCGCAAGGGGCCGGCCGCACACAUCUUGGUGAAUCAGAAUAACUUUUGCCGAGCGCACGACCCCUCCCGUAACCCGGGUUGGGUCGGCGCCGCGUCCUGCAGGCGUCUGCCUUAUCAGCUCUCGAUUGUAGGUUAAACGCCUACAAUGGCUAUCACGGGUAACGGGGAAUCAGGGUUCGAUUCCGGAGAGGGAGCCUGAGAAACGGCUACCACAUCUAAGGAAGGCAGCAGGCGCGCAAAUUACCCACUCCCGGCACGGGGAGGUAGUGACGAAAAAUACUGUUGCGAGCCCCGAACGGGGCCUCGCAAUUGGAAUGAGUACACUUUAAAUCCUUGUACGAGGAUCGAGUGGAGGGCAAGUCUGGUGCCAGCCGCCGCGGUAAUUCCAGCUCCACUAGCGUAUAUUAAAGUUGUUGCGGUUGAAACGCUCGUAGUUUGACUUCUGCUCCGGACCGGCGGUCCGCCUUAGCGGCGGCUACUGCCGGGUUCCGAGCUGUGUCCCCGCCGGCGCACAUGGGUUUUUAUGCCCUUAACCGGGUGUCCCCUUGUGGCCGGCACGUUUACUUUGAAAAAAUUAGAGUGCUCAGAGCAGGCUGGUUUUUGCUUACAGCCCGAAUGGUCGUGCAUGGAAUGAUGGAACAGGACCUCGGUUCUAUUUUGUCGGUUUUUCGGAACCCGAGGUAAUGAUUAAUAGAAGCAGACGGGGGCAUUCGUACUGCGACGCUAGAGGUGAAAUUCUUAGACCGUCGCAUGACGACCUACUGCGAAAGCAUCUGCCAAGGAUGUUUUCAUUGAUCAAGAACGAAAGUUAGAGGUUCGAAGGCGAUCAGAUACCGCCCUAGUUCUAACCUUAAACGAUGCUGACUAGCGAUCCGCCGCAGUUAUUCCAUGACCCGGCGGGUAGCUUCCGGGAAACCAAAGUCUUUGAGUUCCGGGGAAGUAUGGUUGCAAAGCUGAAACUUAAAGGAAUUGACGGAAGGGCACCACCAGGAGUGGAGCCUGCGGCUCAAUUUGACUCAACACGGGGAAACUCACCAGGCCAGGACACCGGAAGGAUUGACAGAAUGAAGGCUCUUUCUCGAUUCGGUGGGUGGUGGUGCAUGGCCGUUCUUAGUUGGUGGAGUGAUCUGUCUGGUUAAUUCCGAUAACGAACGAGACUCUAGCCUGCUAAAUAGUCGACGGAUCUCAACCCCGUUGCCCCCGUUGUCGUUCGCGGCGAUGCGGGGCGCGGGUUCCCCGAAACCCGGUCGUCGUGCGGGCCUCCACCGUCGGUCGGUUAGCGCCGCCGGCGGCGCGCCCCGCGGCGCCGGAAACUGGCGUCCGCUUCGCAGUCUUCUUCUUAGAGGGAUAAGCGGCAGCAAAAAAUAUACUAGCCGCACGAGAGUUUGAGCCAUAACAGGUCUGUGAUGCCCUUAGAUGUUCUGGGCCGCACGCGCGCUACAAUGGAGAGUUCAGCGAGCUGUCCCUGCUCCGAGAGGAGCGGGUAACCUCGUGAAAGCUGUCCUUAAAGGGGAUUGGGGCUUGCAAAUGUUCCCCAUGAACGAGGAAUUCCCAGUAGGCGCAAUUCACCAGAUUGCGCCGAUUUAGUCCCUGCCCUUUGUACACACCGCCCGUCGCUACUACCGAUUGAAUGGUCUAGUGAGGGCACCGGACUGGCGCCCUUGGAGCCGCUACCGCCUCGGCGGGCAGCGCCCUCGGGUCGACGGAAAGGUGUCCAAGCUGGGUCAUUUAGAGGAAGUAAAAGUCGUAACAAGGUUUCCGUAGGUGAACCUGCGGAAG